rnacentral:tRNA from 1 species
GGGGGCGUAGUUCAGUUUGGUUUAGAACGCCGGCCUGUCACGCCGGAGGUCGCGAGUUCGAGUCUCGUCGUCCCCGCCA